rnacentral:rRNA from 1 species
UACAGAGGGUGCAAGCGUUGUUCGGAAUUAUUGGGCGUAAAGGGCGCGUAGGCGGUUCGGCAAGUCUCUAGUGAAAUCUCAGGGCUCAACUCUGAGUCUGCUGGGGAAACUGCCGGGCUUGAGUGUGGGAGAGGAGAGUGGAAUUCCCGGUGUAGCGGUGAAAUGCGUAGAUAUCAGGAGGAACACCGGUGGCGAAGGCGGGUCUCUGGGCCGAUACUGACGCUGAGGAGCGAAAGCGUGGGGAGCGAACAGG